rnacentral:rRNA from 1 species
AUUGAACGCUGGCGGCAGGCCUAACACAUGCAAGUCGAGCGAGAGGCGGACGGGUGAGUAAUGUCUGGGAAACUGCCUGAUGGAGGGGGAUAACUACUGGAAACGGUAGCUAAUACCGCAUACCAUCAGAUGUGCCCAGAUGGGAUUAGCUAGUAGGUGGGGUAACGGCUCACCUGGUCGACGAUCCCUAGCAUGUCUGCGAGGAGGACCAGCCACACUGGAACGGAGACACGGGCCAGACUCCUACGGGAGGCAGCAGUGGGGAAUAUUGCACAAUGGGCGCAAGCCUGAUGCAGCCAUGCCGCGUGUAUGAAGAAGGCCUGCGGGUUGUAAAGGACUUUCAGCGGGGAGGCGUUACCCGCAGAAGAAGCACCGGCUAACUCCGUGCCAGCAGCCGCGGUAAUUC